CCCACACAAUGCAUCUAAUUUGAACCGUGACCUAUAAAAAUACCAUUGCCAGAUUUAUAGUAUCAGGUUGCUGCCCAUUUGCCCUAAUGUUUCUGGAAAGAUUCAUGUUAAAACAUAAAUGAACAAAAGAUUUCCUUUCUUUUCUUUUCUUUUCUUUUAAACUACAAUGAACUCCUAUUUCUAACUUUUUUUCCCCUUCUUUUUCCCCCACACAUGGAAAGACUAUCCAUCCAUAUUAACAUGCACUGCUAUAUUUGGCCCCACAUGGUCACACUCAAAAUUUGGUAUGAUAAUUUUCUUGAGUAUUCCCUGCAGCAUUUCCAACACUGGUAAUUUCAUCAUGCAAAUUAACUUCAGUUAAAAGUGCCUCUUUGUGAAAACCUUUU
rnacentral:misc_RNA from 1 species